rnacentral:rRNA from 1 species
AUUGAACGCUGGCGGAAUGCUUUACACAUGCAAGUCGAACGGCAGCACGGACUUCGGUCUGGUGGCGAGUGGCGAACGGGUGAGUAAUGUAUCGGAACGUGCCCAGUCGUGGGGGAUAACGUAGUGAAAAUUACGCUAAUACCGCAUACGAUCUAUUGAUGAAAGCGGGGGAUCGCAAGACCACGCGCGAUUGGAGCGGCCGAUAUCAGAUUAGGUAGUUGGUGGGGUAAAGGCCCACCAAGCCAACGAUCUGUAGCUGGUCUGAGAGGGCGGCCAGCAACCCUGGAACUGAGACACGGUCCAGACUCCUACGGGGGGCGGCGGUGGGGAAUUUUGGACAAUGGGCGAAAGCCUGAUCAAGCCAUUCCGCGUGCAGGAUGAAGGCCCUCGGGUUGUAAACUGCUUUUGUACAGAACGAAAAGGUUUCUACUAAUACUAGGAGCUCAUGACGGUACUGUAAGAAUAAGCACCGGCUAACUACGUGCCAGCAGCCGCGGUAA